CUCCCUAUCUCUUCUCCUUCAGAACCCCCUUUAUCUCCAUCCCCUGCAUCCUCUUUGAUCAUCAACUCACACCCCUUUCCCUCUGCAGCUUUCAGCCUCCCUGAACUUGGUGCUGCCCCCAGCAUCCUGUGACACCUUUCUGGGCACCAGCAUAGAGAGGAGUCAGCCAUUCAGCUCUCUUCAGUCUGAGGAGGAACAGUGAAAGAGAGGGAUGAGACCUGACCAACCACAUGAUGUCCUGAUUAGCAAGUGAGUCAGAGUACAGACUGACUGACACCAGCUAUGGCUGACCUGCCAGCCCAAAGCAUUCUUUCUUGACUGGCCAGCCACCCUGUGUGCUGAGAACAUCAACAAAAACCACAUUGCCUCCAUCCUUACUAUCCUCUCUUCUCUGCCUCCUGGGUCUGUUGGUUUUAUGAAAAGCUGCAUUGAGUCUCAUUCCGGACUCACAAUUGGACAGACAACAGAACUAAUCCUUUUCUCCCUACCAAGAAUGUCUGUUGGAGCGAAUAAAAGACUUUACUCAA